rnacentral:rRNA from 1 species
UACGGAGGGAGCUAGCGUUGUUCGGAAUUACUGGGCGUAAAGCGCACGUAGGCGGCUAUUCAAGUCAGAGGUGAAAGCCUGGAGCUCAACUCCAGAACUGCCUUUGAAACUAGAUAGCUUGAAUCCAGGAGAGGUGAGUGGAAUUCCGAGUGUAGAGGUGAAAUUCGUAGAUAUUCGGAAGAACACCAGUGGCGAAGGCGGCUCACUGGACUGGUAUUGACGCUGAGGUGCGAAAGCGUGGGGAGCAAACAGG